rnacentral:rRNA from 1 species
UAGUUAUAGUGGUUUGUUAUAUAAUAAGAAGGUUUUGGCGCUGUACCUUUUGUAUCAGGGGAGCCUAAAAGUGUAAAGAGUGGAUAAUCGAUUGGGUUGGAUCUUUAAAAGAUUAGUUAAGAGUAAAAUUAUUUGGUAUUAGUGUAUAAGGGGUGAAAUGUGUACGACUGCUCUGAUAGCUAAUUAAUUUUAUACGUAAAAGUUUAAGUUUUUGUAGUGCUAUAGUGGUUGUUUUUUACAAAAACUAGGCUUUAAAUUAGCUAAGUUGGCAUGUUGUUUUAAAGGAUUUUUAAUAUAAGCAUUAGUAAAGUAGAAUUAGUAAGUUAAUUUUUGGUUUUUUUGUCUUACAAAUAUAAUGGGUUUAUUGAAUAUAAUUAGGAGCUUUAAAAUAACUCAAAGUUAGUCUGAUUGUUUAUCAAAAACAUUUUUAUUAGGUGUGUUGGAAGUAAAACCUGCCCGGUGCUUGUAUGUUUAACGGCUGCGGUAUUUUGACUGUGCUAAGGUAGCUUAAUCAGUUGUUUUUUAAUUGAAAACUGGGAUGAAGGGUUAAACAGGCUGAGGUAGUUUGUAUAGUUUAACUAGUAAAUUAAAGUCUAGGUAAGAAUUCUUAGAUUUUCUAGGGGACGAUAAGACCCUAGAAGCUUUAAAAAAGAAAAAUUUUUAGUGGUUGUAUUGUAUUUUUACUGGGGCGGUAUUAGUGUUUUAACUACUGGUGAUAAAGAUUGAUCCUUAAUAUAAAGAUAAUUCGGUGAAGUUACUCUAGGGAUAACAGUGCGGUAUUUUUGGAAAGGCCUUAUUAAUAAAAAUGUUCGCAACCUCGAUGUUGAAUUAAGAUGUCUACAUGGGGUAGUAAAUAUGGUAGAGGGUUUGUUCAACCUUUAUAGUCUUACAUGAUUUGAGUUCAAAUCGGUUUAAGCCAGAUUGGAUUUUAUCUCUAGCUAUAUGGUAAUCUUUUUAGUACGAAAGGGUCGAUUGGUUUUUAG